rnacentral:rRNA from 1 species
UACGAAGGGUGCUAGCGUUGUUCGGAAUUACUGGGCGUAAAGGGUGCGUAGGUUGUAUGGUUAGUUAGUGGUGAAAGCCCAGAGCUUAACUCUGGAAUUGCCAUUAAAACUGCCAUGCUAGAGAGUGUUAGAGGUGAGUGGAAUUUCUAGUGUAGGAGUGAAAUCCGUAGAUAUUAGAAGGAACAUCAAUGGCGAAGGCAGCUCACUGGGUCACAUCUGACACUGAGGCACGAAAGCGUGGGUAGCAAACAGG